UACAGAGGGUGCAAGCGUUAAUCGGAAUUACUGGGCGUAAAGCGCGCGUAGGUGGUUUGUUAAGUUGGAUGUGAAAGCCCCGGGCUCAACCUGGGAACUGCAUUCAAAACUGACAAGCUAGAGUAUGGUAGAGGGUGGUGGAAUUUCCUGUGUAGCGGUGAAAUGCGUAGAUAUAGGAAGGAACACCAGUGGCGAAGGCGACCACCUGGACUGAUACUGACACUGAGGUGACGAAAGCGUGGGGGAG
rnacentral:rRNA from 1 species